rnacentral:rRNA from 1 species
AGCGAACGCUGGCGGCAGGCUUAACACAUGCAAGUCGAGCGGGCACUUCGGUGUCAGCGGCAGACGGGGGAGUAACACGUGGGAACGUACCCUUUGGUUCGGAAUAACGCUGGGAAACUAGCGCUAAUACCGGAUACGCCCUUAUGGGGAAAGGCUUGCUGCCGAAGGAUCGGCCCGCGUCUGAUUAGCUAGUUGGUUGGGUAAUGGCCUACCAAGGCGACGAUCAGUAGCUGGUCUGAGAGGCUGAUCAGCCACACUGGGACUGAGACACGGCCCAGACUCCUACGGGAGGCAGCAGUGGGGAAUAUUGGACAAUGGGCGCAGGCCUGAUCCAGCCAUGCCGCGUGAGUGAUGAAGGCCUUAGGGUUGUAAAGCUCUUUUGUCCGGGACGAUAAUGACGGUACCGGAAGAAUAAGCCCCGGCUAACUUCGUG